rnacentral:rRNA from 1 species
GUGCAGCAGUCGCGAAACUUUACAAUGUGCGAAAGCACGAUAAGGGAACUCUGAGUGCCUCCUAAGGAGGCUGUUCAGGUGUCUAAAAGCACCUGGAGUAAGGGCUGGGUAAGACCGGUGCCAGCCGCCGCGGUAACACCGGCAGCCCAGGUGGUAGCCACUUUUAUUGGGUCUAAAGCGUCCGUAGCCGGUUGAGUAAGUUCCUUGGGAAAUUUGGCUGCUCAACAGUCAAGCUUCCAGGGAAUACUGCUCGACUUGGGGACUGGGAGAGGUCAGAGGUACUCCAGGGGUAGGGUGAAAUCCAUUAAUCCCUGGGGGACCACCGGUAGCGAAGGCGUCUGACCAGACCAGGUCCGACGGUGAGGGACGAAGGCUAGGGGCGCGAACCGGAUUAGAUACCCCUGUAGU